rnacentral:rRNA from 1 species
AGCAGUCGCCGCGGUAAUACGAAGGGUGCAAGCGUUACUCGGAAUUACUGGGCGUAAAGCGUGCGCAGGCGGUUUGUUAAGACAGAUGUGAAAUCCCCGGGCUCAACCUGGGAACUGCAUUUGUGACUGGCAAGCUAGAGUGUGGCAGAGGGGGGUGGAAUUCCGCGUGUAGCAGUGAAAUGCGUAGAUAUGCGGAGGAACACCGAUGGCGAAGGCAGCCCCCUGGGCCAACACUGACGCUCAUGCACGAAAGCGUGGGGAGCAAACAGGAUUAGAUACCCGCGUAGUCCCUGUCUCUUAUAC